rnacentral:tRNA from 1 species
AGGUUUAGCUUAAGUUGAAAGUUUAGAUUUUUGCUCUUAGGAUAUGUGUAAUUUUCUUUUG